rnacentral:rRNA from 1 species
CUUUUUAAUCCAUAUCCACCUUGUGUGCAAUGUCAGUCGAUCUUCUUCAUGGAGAUCGACCAAACAUCAACCUUUAUUUUUUAACUCUUUGUCUGAAAAAUAUUAUGAAUAAACAAUUCAAAAUACAACUUUCAACAACGGAUCUCUUGGCUCUCGCAUCGAUGAAGAACGCAGCGAAAUGCGAUACGUAAUGUGAAUUGCAGAAUUCAGUGAAUCAUCGAAUCUUUGAACGCAUAUUGCGCUCUUUGGUAUUCCGAAGAGCAUGCUUGUUUGAGUAUCAGUAAACACCUCAAAGCUUUUGGAUUUUUUAAUCGAAAAGCUUUGGACUUGAGCAAUCCCAACACCAAUCUUUUUGAGAUCGGUGGCGGGUUGCUUGAAAUGCAGGUGCAGCUGGACAUUCUCCUGAGCUAAAAGCAUAUUCAUUUAGUCCCGUCAAACGGAUUAUUACUUUUGCUGCAGCUAACAUAAAGGGAGUUUGACCGUAUUGGCUGACUGAUGCAGGAUUUCACAAGGGUCGGCAACGAUUCUUGUUAAACUCGAUCUCAAAUCAAGUAAGACUACCCGCUGAACUUAAGCAUAUCAAA